AGAGUUUGAUCCUGGCUCAGGAUGAACGCUAGCUACAGGCUUAACACAUGCAAGUCGAGGGGCAGCGGGGAGGAAGCUUGCUUUCUCCGCCGGCGACCGGCGCACGGGUGAGUAACGCGUAUCGAACCUGCCUCAUACUCGGGAAUAGCCUUGCGAAAGUAAGAUUAAUGCCCGAUGUUUUCAGUGGUCCGCAUGAACUGCUGAACAAAGAUUUAUCGGUAUGAGAUGGCGAUGCGUCCCAUUAGCUUGUUGGCGGGGUAACAGCCCACCAAGGCAUCGAUGGGUAGGGGUUCUGAGAGGAAGGUCCCCCACAUUGGAACUGAGACACGGUCCAAACUCCUACGGGAGGCAGCAGUGAGGAAUAUUGGUCAAUGGACGCAAGUCUGAACCAGCCAAGUAGCGUGCAGGAUGACGGCCCUCUGGGUUGUAAACUGCUUUUAGUUGGGAAUAAAGUGCAGCUCGUGAGCUGUUUUGUAUGUACCAUCAGAAAAAGGACCGGCUAAUUCCGUGCCAGCAGCCGCGGUAAUACGGAAGGUCCAGGCGUUAUCCGGAUUUAUUGGGUUUAAAGGGAGCGCAGGCGGACUCUUAAGUCAGUUGUGAAAUACGGCGGCUCAACCGUCGGACUGCAGUUGAUACUGGGAGUCUUGAGUGCACACAGGGAUGCUGGAAUUCAUGGUGUAGCGGUGAAAUGCUCAGAUAUCAUGAAGAACUCCGAUCGCGAAGGCAGGUAUCCGGGGUGCAACUGACGCUGAGGCUCGAAAGUGCGGGUAUCAAACAGGAUUAGAUACCCUGGUAGUCCGCACAGUAAACGAUGAAUACUCGCGGUUGGCGAUAUACUGUCAGCCGCCAAGCGAAAGCGUUAAGUAUUCCACCUGGGGAGUACGCCGGCAACGGUGAAACUCAAAGGAAUUGACGGGGGCCCG
rnacentral:rRNA from 1 species